UGCAUGGCAGUUUUCUACACCGUGUAUUAUGUAGUCCUUUCCAUUGGCUUUGCAGUAUUCAAGAUUCAAAUGUUGGAUGGUUUGGCACCUUUUGAUUUUAAGACAAAUCCAUCAUGGUUUAACCCACAUUAUUUAGAAUUGUAUCAGGUAAUUCGAUGCAGCAUGCUUAUAAGGUGCCAAAGACAGUUGAUACAUCAUGCAAUUUGGUAAUAUUCAAUCUCGCUUUUUGUCCACCUGAUGAAGUAACAUGGAGUAGCAAAACUUAGAAGGAU
rnacentral:lncRNA from 1 species